rnacentral:rRNA from 1 species
GGUCAAGUUAUUAAGGGUGCAGGGCGGAUGCCUUGGCACUAGGAGCCGAUGAAGGACGUGAUAAGCUGCGAUAAGCUUCGGGGAGUUGCACGUAAACUUUGAUCCGAAGAUUUCCGAAUGAGGAAACUCACUUAGAGUAAUGUCUAAGUAUCAUUAAGUGAAUACAUAGCUUAAUGAGGGGAACUCAGGGAACUGAAACAUCUAAGUACCUGAAGGAAGAGAAAGAAAUUCGAUUCCGUAAGUAGCGGCGAGCGAACGCGGAUUAGCCCAAACCAAUAAAGUUUUCUUUAUUGGGGUUGCGGACAUAUCAUAACGAAGAGGUAUCGUAAUUGAAGAGGUUUGGAAAGACCCACCACAGAAGGUAAUAGUCCUGUAUGUUAAACGAGAAGACUUCAGAUAUGAUCCAGAGUAC